rnacentral:rRNA from 1 species
AUCAUUACAAGUGACCCCGGUUUACCACCGGGAUGUUCAUAACCCUUUGUUGUCCGACUCUGUUGCCUCCGGGGCGACCCUGCCUUCGGGCGGGGGCUCCGGGUGGACACUUCAAACUCUUGCGUAACUUUGCAGUCUGAGUAAACUUAAUUAAUAAAUUAAAACUUUUAACAACGGAUCUCUUGGUUCUGGCAUCGAUGAAGAACGCAGCGAAAUGCGAUAAGUAAUGUGAAUUGCAGAAUUCAGUGAAUCAUCGAAUCUUUGAACGCACAUUGCGCCCCCUGGUAUUCCGGGGGGCAUGCCUGUUCGAGCGUCAUUUCACCACUCAAGCCUCGCUUGGUAUUGGGCAACGCGGUCCGCCGCGUGCCUCAAAUCGACCGGCUGGGUCUUCUGUCCCCUAAGCGUUGUGGAAACUAUUCGCUAAAGGGUGCUCGGGAGGCUACGCCGUAAAACAACCCCAUUUCUAAGGUUGACCUCGGAUCAGGUAGGGAUACCCGCUGAACUUAAGCAUAUCAAUUAAGCGGAGGA